rnacentral:rRNA from 1 species
GAUGAACGCUGGCGGCGUGCCUAAUACAUGCAAGUCGAGCGAAAAGACGAGGAGCUCGCGCCUCUGACGUUAGCGGCGGACGGGUGAGUAACACGUGGAUAACCUACCUAUAAGACUGGGAUAAUUUCGGGAAACCGGAGCUAAUACCGGAUAAUAUAUUGAACGGCAUGGAUCAAUAGAGCAAGACGGCUUUGCUGUCACUUAUAGAUGGAUCCGCGCCGCAUUAGCUAGUUGGUAAGGUAACGGCUUACCAAGGCAACGAUGCGUAGCCGACCUGAGAGGAUGAUCGGCCACACUGGAACUGAGACACGGUCCAGACUCCUACGGGAGGCAGCAGUAGGGAAUCUUCCGCAAUGGGCGAAAGCCUGACGGAGCAACGCCGCGUGAGUGAUGAAGGUCUUCGGAUCGUAAAACUCUGUUAUUGGGGAAGAACAAAUGUGUGAGUAACUAUGCACGUCUUGACGGUACCUAAUCAGAAAGCCACGGCUAACUACGUG